rnacentral:rRNA from 1 species
CAAUAGCGUAUAUUAAAGUUGUUGCAGUUAAAAAGCUCGUAGUUGGACCUUGGACCUGGACAGGCGGUCCGCCUCACGGCGUGUACUGUCUUGCUGGGUCUUUCCUCUUGGUGAUCUGUUGUUUCGGCAGCAGGGAACCAGGACUUUUACUUUGAAAAAAUUAGAGUGUUCAAAGCAGGCUCGACGCCGGAAUAUAUUAGCAUGGAAUAAUAAAAUAGGACGUGCGGUUCUAUUUUGUUGGUUUUUGGAAUCGCCGUAAUGAUUAAUAGGGACAGUCAGGGGCAUUAGUACUCACAUGCUAGAGGUGAAAUUCUUGGAUUUUGUGAAGACUAACUUCUGCGAAAGCAUUUGCCAAGGAUGUUUUCAUUAA